rnacentral:rRNA from 1 species
AGUCGAGCGGACAGAUGGGAGCUUGCUCCCUGAUGUUAGCGGCGGACGGGUGAGUAACACGUGGGUAACCUGCCUGUAAGACUGGGAUAACUCCGGGAAACCGGGGCUAAUACCGGAUGGUUGUUUGAACCGCAUGGUUCAAACAUAAAAGGUGGCUUCGGCUACCACUUACAGAUGGACCCGCGGCGCAUUAGCUAGUUGGUGAGGUAACGGCUCACCAAGGCAACGAUGCGUAGCCGACCUGAGAGGGUGAUCGGCCACACUGGGACUGAGACACGGCCCAGACUCCUACGGGAGGCAGCAGUAGGGAAUCUUCCGCAAUGGACGAAAGUCUGACGGAGCAACGCCGCGUGAGUGAUGAAGGUUUUCGGAUCGUAAAGCUCUGUUGUUAGGGAAGAACAAGUACCGUUCGAAUAGGGCGGUACCUUGACGGUACCUAACCAGAAAGCCACGGCUAACUACGUGCCAGCAGCCGCGGUAAUACGUAGGUGGCAAGCGUUGUCCGGAAUUAUUGGGCGUAAAGGGCUCGCAGGCGGUUUCUUAAGUCUGAUGUGAAAGCCCCCGGCUCAACCGGGGAGGGUCAUUGGAAACUGGGGAACUUGAGUGCAGAAGAGGAGAGUGGAAUUCCACGUGUAGCGGUGAAAUGCGUAGAGAUGUGGAGGAACACCAGUGGCGAAGGCGACUCUCUGGUCUGUAACUGACGCUGAGGAGCGAAA